UACGUAGGGUGCAAGCGUUGUCCGGAAUUAUUGGGCGUAAGGAGCUCGUAGGCGGUUUGUCGCGUCUGCUGUGAAAACUCGAGGCUCAACCUCGGGCUUGCAGUGGGUACGGGCAGACUAGAGUGCGGUAGGGGAGACUGGAAUUCCUGGUGUAGCGGUGGAAUGCGCAGAUAUCAGGAGGAACACCGAUGGCGAAGGCAGGUCUCUGGGCCGCAACUGACGCUGAGGAGCGAAAGCAUGGGGAGCGAACAGG
rnacentral:rRNA from 1 species